UGGUGGAGUGAUUUGUCUGGUUAAUUCCGUUAACGAACGAGACCUCAGCCUGCUAAAUAGUUUGUGCUUCAGAUUAUUCUGAAGUCUACAUAACUUCUUAGAGGGACUGUCGGUAUCGAGCCGAAGGAAGUUUGAGGCAAUAACA
rnacentral:rRNA from 1 species